CAAACGACUCUCGGCAACGGAUAUCUCGGCUCACGCAUCGAUGAAGAACGUAGCAAAAUGCGAUACUUGGUGUGAAUUGCAGAAUCCCGUGAACCAUCGAGUUUUUGAACGCAAGUUGCGCCCGAAGCCAUUUGGUGGAGGGCACGUCUGCCUGGGCGUCACGCA
rnacentral:rRNA from 1 species